AGUGAACGCUGGCGGUAGGCCUAACACAUGCAAGUCGAACGGCAGCACAGUAAGAGCUUGCUCUUACGGGUGGCGAGUGGCGGACGGGUGAGGAAUACAUCGGAAUCUACUUUUUCGUGGGGGAUAACGUAGGAAAACUUACGCUAAUACCGCAUACGACCUACGGGUGAAAGCAGGGGAUCUUCGGACCUUGCGCGAUUGAAUGAGUCGAUGUCGGAUUAGCUAGUUGGCGGGGUGAAGGCCCACCAAGGCGACGAUCCGUAGCUGGUCUGAGAGGAUGAUCAGCCACACUGGAACUGAGACACGGUCCAGACUCCUACGGGAGGCAGCAGUGGGGAAUAUUGGACAAUGGGCGCAAGCCUGAUCCAGCCAUACCGCGUGGGUGAAGAAGGCCUUCGGGUUGUAAAGCCCUUUUGUUGGGAAAGAAAAGCAGCAGGUUAAUACCCCGCUGUUCUGACGGUACCCAAAGAAUAAGCACCGGCUAACUUCGUG
rnacentral:rRNA from 1 species